CGGACUGCGCGCGGUGCUUGCGGGCCAACGCGAGUUCCGGGUAGGUGUGGGCUCUGCGGGCCCCGCACUGGGAGCGCACGGCCGGCCCUAAAGGCCCCAGGCAAUGAGGGGCUUAGCAGCCGGGCCAGCGGCUGCGGAGGGUGUGCUGGGUCCCCCAGCAGUGCCGGCCCACCAGCGCUGCGCUGGAUUUCUCACCGGGCCUUAGCUGCCUCCCCGCAGGGCAGGGCUCCGGACCUGCAGCCCGCCAUGCCUGAGCCUCACCCCCUCCGUUGGGAUCCUGUGCGGCGGGAGCCUCCCCAACGAGCGCCGCCCCCUGCUCCACGGCACUCAGUGCCAUCGACCACCCAAGGGCUGAGGAGUGCCGGCGCAAGGCGCGAGACUGGCAGGCAGCUCCACCUGCAGUCCGGUGGGGGAUCCACUGAGUCAAGCCAGCCGGGCUCCUGAGUCUGGUGGGGACUUGCAGAACCUUUAUGUCUAGCUAAGGGAUUGUAAAUGCACCAAUCAGCACCCUGUGUCUAGCUCAGGGUUUCUGAAUGCACCAAUUGACACUCUGUCUCUAGCUACUCUGGUGGGGAGGUGGAGAACCUUUAUGUCUAGCUAAGGGAUUGUAAAUAUAGCAAUCGGCACUCUGUAUCUAGCUCAAGGUUUGUAAACACACCAAUCAGCACCCUGUGUCUAGCUCAGGGUUUGUGAAUGCACCAAUUGACACUCUGUAUCUAGCUACUCUGGUGGGGACUUGGAGAACCUUUGUGUCCCCACUCUGUAUCUAGCUAAUCUGGUGGGGACGUGAAGAACCUUUGUGUCUAGCUCAGGGAUUGUAAAGGCACCAGUCAGCACCCUGUCAAAACAGACCACUUGGCUCUCUGUAAAAUGGACCAAUCAGCAGGAUGUGGGUGGGGCUAGAUAAGAGAAUAAAAGCAGGCUGCCCGAGCCAGCAGUGGCAACCCCCCUUGGGUCCCGUUCCACGCUGUGGGAGGUUUGUUCAUUUGCUCUUUGCAAUAAAGCUUGCUGCUGCUCACUCUUUGGGUCCAGACUGUCUUUAUGAGCUGUAACACUCACCGGGAAGGUCUGCAGCUUCACUCCUGAAGCCAAGGAGACCACGAACCCACCGGGAGGAAGGAACAACUACAGACACGCCGGCUUAAGGGCUGUAACACUCACUGCGAAGGUCCGCAGCUUCACUCUUGAGCCAGCGAGACCACGAACCCACCAGAAGGAAGAAACUCCAAACACAUCCGAACAUCAGAAGGAAAAAACUGCAGACACGCCGCCUUUAAGAACUGCAACACCGCGAGGGUCCGCGGCUUCAUUCUUGAAGUCAGUGAGACCAAGAACCCACCAAUUCCAGACACGCUACCAAAGGCAGAGGGGAGCUCCUAGACAAAGAUAUUUUGCUUACAAAUGGAACACAUCAAAUCAAGCUUUUGUGAACUUGAGGGAAGAAACAAAGAAUAUGAAGCCUAAAUGGAAGUGUCAGGAAAUGGUCGCCUUGCGGACAAGGAAACAGCAGCCUGGAAGGCCAGGAGAGGGCAGACUACCCACCUAACCCUCUGCAGAAUUUUGUGUGGACCCUGGAGACCAGAAACUAACUUCUCCUGCAGAGACAAGGUCUUGCUCUGUCACCCUGGCUGGUCUUGAACUCCUGGCUUCAAGCAAUUCAUCCAUCUCAGCCUCCUGAGUAGCUGGGAUUACAGAAAAAACAGUGAAGCAUAGACAGUUUUUGCAAGAGGCCCAAGAUCAUACAUCAAAUACGUGCACAGCCAGGACCUGAACCAGUUGAUAUCUACAAAUGCCUGGCUUUUGCCACUGGGCUCCUUCAGGUAUAUCUAACUUUUACACUCUAAGUUUGUUUCUGCUGUUUUGUUGUUGUUGUGUAUGUAUAUAUAAAAUACUAUUUAAAAGUAAAAAACUUUUGUAUUUUUGCUUAGGCUUUAUGGAUGAGAGAACAAAAUUAUUACAAUAAUAAAUAAUCAAAACAACUAAUGCCAAAAGCUUUAUGUAUUCAAGGAGGUCACUAUGCACUAUUCUUUUUUUCUGAAAAUUACAUCCAAAAGUCUACUUAAUAACUAAACAUUUAAGCAUUUCCAAAAUAAACUCAUUAACAUUACUUUUUCUAACAGAAGAAAUUUUCUACAUGAAAACAUCAUCUUUAGGUAGUCAAAAGCAAUUUUAUUAUAAAAUUAUAUGUGUACCUUCAAGGGAAAUCAAAAUGAAUUCUGAAUAUUUUAGUAAUUUCAAUAGCUCUGCAUAUCUAAAUUUUUAUUCAUGAAAUGGUUUUAUACUUUUAGGUUAUUUCAUAAGAUGAAUACAUAACUUGAGUUGCAGAUGGCCAAAAAAUACCUUUAUAUUAUUUCUGAUAUAUUGCAUUUGAAAUUCUGUAUUUCUAUGGUAUACAUAUUUAUGUAACACUUAACAUAAUAUUUGAUAUUAUAAAAGAAAUAGAAAUUCCUCAGGUUUCCCAUAUAUGCAUAAUUUACAGCAGUAUAUUUCCACAUGGGAAAAACUGUGCUUAAUCAUUGUUUAUUUAAUCAUAUCACUUUGAUUAAAACUUAUAUUUUGAAUUCGUAUUUUUACCCAUUUUAAUUCACCACAUAUCCCUUCUUUUUAACAAGCACAUUAAGAAAAAUAGAGGCAGAAAUAUUGUCACGUUCCAAAGUCAUAAGACUAAUUAGUAAAUACAGAGGUAACACCUCACAGACAUUACAGGGCUAGACUUUUGCACAACUCACUCAUCCACACUCCUUUUUUCACCUUUUAAAAUAUGUAGAGAUAAGUCAUCUAAUAUGAUACUGGGCUUUAUUUUGAUGGAUCUAACCAAUUAGACUCACUCUAUCAAAAAAAAAUCCAAUAAUGUGCAUAAUAAAUUCUUCUCAUUCUCUGUGCACCUGUUCUCUCUCAUUAUGUCUAAAACUUGGGAUUACUCCAAAGUGUUCCAUAAUGACUUUUUAUAAGCACAGCAAGUAGGAGAAAUUCUUCAAGGACAGAGUGAAUUGGUAUUUGAAGUUGUGCUAACUACCUAGGUAGGAGGGAAGUGAUAACAAAAGAAAGACCAUGAGGCACAUAUCAUUUGGAGGUAGGACGAUUUAUGGGAUAAAGAAUCAUGCCACCAGUGAUGAAAGGUACAAAAAUCCUAAGCAGUCCCAGUUUCUCAGUUUUGUAAACAUUAGCGCAUAUUUUCAAUUAAUGUAUUUUUUUCCUGUAUUCAGUUUUCGGAAAAUGUUUAAGCAACACAGUCUUGUUUUUGUCUUUUGUUUUAUACAUCUUGGAAGAUAUUUAAAAGAGUGAUUAAAAGAGUGAUUAUUUCACGUUUAUAGCCACUGUGUAUCUGUAGAACUACAUAUAUUUACUUUUAGUUGCAAUUUAAUUUUGUGUGUGUGUUUGUGUGUGUGUGUGUGUGUGUGUGUGUGUGUGUGUGAUUGAAUCUUGCUCU